GACGAACGCUGGCGGCGUGCUUAACACAUGCAAGUCGAACGCUGAAGCCCUGGCUUUUGUUGGGUUGGAUGAGUGGCGAACGGGUGAGUAACACGUGAGUAACCUGCCCUCUUCUUUGGGAUAACGCCCGGAAACGGGUGCUAAUACUGGAUAUUCACUGAUCUUCGCAUGGGGGUUGGUGGAAAGGUUUGUUCUGGUGGGGGAUGGGCGCGCGGGCUAUCAGCUUGUUGGUGGGGUGAUGGCCUACCAAGGCUGUGACGGGUAGCCGGCCUGAGAGGGUGACCGGUCACAUUGGAACUGGGACACGGCCCAGACUGCUACGGGAGGCAGCAGUGGGGAAUAUUGGACAAUGGGCGAAAGGCUGAUGCAGCGACGAGGCGUGAGGGAUGGAGGCCUUCGGGUUGUAAUCCUCUUUCGCGCACGGUUAAGCCGCAACUGUGGGUUGUGGUGAGGGUAGUGGGUAAAGAAGCGCCGGCUAACUACGUG
rnacentral:rRNA from 1 species